rnacentral:rRNA from 1 species
UAGGGAAUAUUGCAUAAUGGGCGAAAGCCUGAUGCAGCAACGCCGCGUGUGCGAUGACGGCCUUCGGGUUGUAAAGCACUUUUGGAAGGGAUGAGGAAGGACAGUACCUUCUGAAUAAGCCUCGGCUAACUACGUGCCAGCAGCCGCGGUAAAACGUAGGAGGCGAGCGUUAUCCGGAUUUACUGGGCGUAAAGCGCGUGCAGGCGGUUCGGUAAGUUGGAUGUGAAAGCUCCUGGCUUAACUGGGAGAGGUCGUUCAAUACUACCGGACUUGAGUGUGGGAGAGGGAGGUGGAAUUCCGGGUGUAGUGGUGAAAUGCGUAGAUAUCCGGAGGAACACCAGUGGCGAAAGCGGCCUCCUGGCCCAAUACUGACGCUCAGACGCGAAAGCUAGGGGAGCGA